UACGGGGGAUGCAAGCGUUAUCCGGAUUUAUUGGGUUUAAAGGGUGCGUGGGCUGUGAGGUAAGUCAGCGGUGAAAUGCCCCCGCUCAACGGGGUGAAGUGCCAUUGAUACUGCCUUGCUGGAAUGCGGAUGCUGUGGGAGGAAUGUGUGGUGUAGCGGUGAAAUGCAUAGAUAUCACACAGAACACCGAUUGCGAAGGCAUCUCACGAAUCCGCUAUUGACGCUGAUGCACGAAAGCGUGGGUAUCAAACAGG
rnacentral:rRNA from 1 species